rnacentral:rRNA from 1 species
UACGUAGGGUGCAAGCGUUUAAUCGGAAUUACUGGGCGUAAAGCGUGCGCAGGCGGUGAUGUAAGACCGAUGUGAAAUCCCCGGGCUUAACCUGGGAACUGCAUUGGUGACUGCAUUGCUGGAGUAUGGCAGAGGGGGGUGGAAUUCCACGUGUAGCAGUGAAAUGCGUAGAGAUGUGGAGGAACACCGAUGGCGAAGGCAGCCCCCCUGGGCCGUAACUGACGCUGAGGAGCGAAAGUGUGGGGAGCGAACAGG